AUCAAUGCACUUGUAUACUGGGGGCAGGUCUUAGCCUGUCCCUAUGCCCUUUCACUCUAGGGAUCUCUACAUCCUCCUCUUUCCCACUCCACCUGAGCCACCUACACCUCUUUGGGGGACCCUUGUGCCAAGAAACCUACCUUAAUCCAGAUCAAGUGAAUGAAGCCUGGGAUUCUGGAUCUCAAGAGUUCCCCCAAAGCCUCUGUCUUCCUUCUGUAGCUGAGCUGCUUCAGCCUCUGUGGGACACUCAUUUGAAGGAACCUGUCUAAAUCCAUGUAAGGU
rnacentral:lncRNA from 1 species